AAAAGUAGCAGCUUUGCUGAAGCAGCAAGGUGCUGGCGUCAAAGGUGCCAGCAAAAGUGCUCCUGUAAUUGAGGAAGUGCCUCCGUUGCUUGAAGAGGGUGGAAAAUUAGAGGUAUGGCGCAUAAAUGGUAAUGCAAAGACACCUGUCCCAAAAGAAGAUAUUGGUAAAUUCUACAGUGGAGAUUGCUAUGUGGUUCCCUACAACUACCAUUCUCAUGAAAGGAGAGACGAUUACUAUCUAUGUUGGUGGAUUGGAAAGGAUAGUAUUGAGGAGGACCAAAUCACGGCUGCUCGAUUGGCCAGUACAAUUUGCAAUUCACUCAAAGGAAGACCUGUGCUGGGUCGGGUGUUUCAAGGGAAAGAACCUCCACAGUUUGUUGCAAUCUUCCAGCCCAUGUUGGUCCUUAAGGGUGGUUUGAGCACUGGCUACAAAAACUAUAUUGCUGACAAAGGCUUGAAUGAUGAAACCUAUACUGCUGAUUCAGUUGCACUUAUUCGGUUAUCUGGAACUUCUGUGCAUAAUAACAAAGCGGUUCAAGUGGAUGCUGUGCCAAGUUCACUGAACUCUAAUGAGUGUUUUCUUCUGCAAUCUGGCUCUUCAUUAUUCAGUUGGCAUGGUAACCAGAGUUCUUAUGAGCAGCAGCAAUUAGCAGCAAAGGUUGCAGAAUUCUUGAAGCCAGGAGCAACAGUGAAACACACUAAAGAAGGAACAGAGAGCUCUGCUUUCUGGUUUGCCCUUGGAGGAAAACAAAGUUAUACCAGCAAGAAAGUGGCUCCAGAAGUCUCCAGGGAUCCCCACUUGUUUGCUUAUUCAUUUAAUAAAGGAAAAUUUGAGGUUGAAGAAAUCUACAACUUUGCUCAAGAUGAUUUAUUGACCGAGGAUGUCUUACUACUCGACACACAUGCUGAAGUGUUUGUUUGGGUUGGUCAGUCAGCAGACUCCAAAGAAAAGCAGAGCGCUUUUGAAAUUGGACAGAAAUACGUGGAGAUGGCUGCAUCUUUGGAAGGAUUAUCACCAAAUGUUCCACUCUAUAAAAUCACAGAAGGAAAUGAACCUUGCUUUUUUACAACAUUUUUCUCAUGGGAUCCUGCAAAAGCCAGUGCUCAUGGAAACUCAUUCCAGAAGAAGGUUAUGCUACUCUUUGGGGUUGGUCAUGCUUCAGAGAAUCAGCAAAGGUCAAAUGGGGCAGGUGGGCCAACCCAAAGGGCUUCAGCGUUAGCUGCUUUAAACUCGGCUUUCAGUUCCCCAUCUCCCCCAAAAUCUGGUUCUGCACCGAGGCCUGCUGGAGCAAGUCAGGCUUCUUCACAAAGAGCAGCUGCAAUAGCUGCAUUAUCUAACGUUCUUACAGCUGAGAAAAAGCAGUCGAGUGAGAGUGGUUCUCCUGUCCAAUCAAACAGAAGCUCACCUGUACGAUCAAGCAGAAGCUCUCCUGUUCGAUCAGUAGACUCUGGCCCUGCUGAAAGUGAUCUUUCUACUGCUGAGGUCCAAGAUUCCGAAAAAGUUUCAGAACCUAAGGAGAUUGUUGAGCCCGCUGAAACUAAUGGGUCAGAACCAGAGCAGGAUGAGGGUGGAAAUGAAAGUGGUCAAGCUAUAUUUAGUUAUGAACAGCUGAAGGCUAAAUCUGACAACCCUGUCACCGGGAUUGAUUUUAAGCGAAGAGAGGCCUAUCUAUCGGAUGAAGAAUUUAUGUCUGUACUUGGUAUGAAGAAAGAAGCAUUCUACAAGUUGCCUAAAUGGAAACAAGAUAUGCACAAAAGGAAAACUGAUCUCUUCUAGAUCCUGCAUCGGAGAAACCAAAUGGCCUGUUGCUAUCUUGUUGUUGCAAUUCUCGACAUUCGUUCCCAUGUUUCUUGCCAGAGCAACCUACUUUUAUAGGUACAUAUUGCCUGGAUCGUGUAUGUAGCAUUUUUUUUCAUUUGCUUCUCUCAAUGACCAUAGCUCCUGGUAGUUUUAUUUUUUCGAUUUUGUGAUGCCUGCUUGAAGUUUGGUUUUUUUCGAUUGGAAAUCAGCAGUCAGGUGGUUGAUUCUUUGAUUUGAUCAGUGUAUCCGAGUUUGUGUUCAUUGAAGUCAUGUAUUUUGUUAAUUAAAAGGGUGUAUACAUUAUGUUGUAACCUAUACAAAAAGGAAUAUAACAUUUGGGGUUUGCCAUCAAGAGACCUUUGUGGCUCUGCUCUUGUUUUCGUUUUUUAAACGGUUGUAUCCCAGGCCAGCUUGCAUGCAGCUCGACUAUUCCACCGAGGGCGAUGCUUUGGUUCCUGAAUUACUUAUAAGUUCACAUAUUGGCCAUAGAUAUUUAUAUCAUAUGUAUUUGAGGUUUGUUUGGUUGCUAAAUCAAAAAGACAUUGUAUCAAGAGUUAAUCUCUUGGUGGUUUGCAAUUCCAUUAUUGGAGAGUUUUGUUGA
rnacentral:misc_RNA from 1 species